rnacentral:tRNA from 1 species
UUAACUGAAACCAAAAUAGAGGUAUAUUACUGUUAAUAAUAAAAUUGAAUAAAAUUUCCAGUUAAG